rnacentral:rRNA from 1 species
GCCUACGGGGCGCAGCAGUGGGGAAUAUUGCACAAUGGGGGGAACCCUGAUGCAGCGACGCCGCGUGGGCGAAGGAGUACUUCGGUACGUAAAGCCCUAUCAGCAGGAAAGAAAAUGACGGUACCUGACUAAGAAGCCCUGGCUAACUACGUGCCAGCAGCCGCGGUAAUACGUAGGGGGCAAGCGUUAUCCGGAUUUACUGGGUGUAAAGGGAGCGUAGACGGCAUUGCAAGUCUGACGUGAAAGAUUGGGGCUCAACCCCAGGCCUGCAUUGGAAACUGUAAAGCUGGAGUACAGGAGAGGUA